AGGCCUUGAUCUUUGGGCACGUCCACCAAAGGUGGAAAAAGGUUCCUUCAUUUUCUUUGCAUUUCCAACAUUUAUUAUCGGGCAAAUGAUAAAUUUUGGCUAGCUUGACUGGGGUUAAGUACCACCUAUAAAUCAUUUUCAUUAUAUUUUCUCUUAAUACAUUGCAAGCCGUAAACUUCAUACCUGUGAUCCAUAACCGUUCCCAGUCAGCAAACAUAAUAUUAUGCCCAACAUCUUGUGCCCAUUUAAUCAUAGCAGACUUAACCAUUUCAUCCUGUGUAUUCCAUUUCAACAGCAGAUUAUACAUUCUUGACAGAUUUUUAGUUUUAGGUUCUAACAAUUCCGUUUCCAGUUUAGAUUUUUCCUCCUGGAAACCAAUCUUUUUUAUCUAGGUUAAAAACCUCCCUUAUUUGAUAAUAGUGAAGCCAAUCUCGAACUUUAGUUUUUAAUUUGUCAAAACUCUGCAAUUUUAAUUUAUCUCCAACUUGUUCUAAAAUUUCACCAUAUUUUGGCCAGUUUGUCUCCAUAUUAGUUUUUUUCAAUGCCUUUGCCUCCAUUGGUGACAGCCACCUAUGACUAUGGGACUCUCUGUGCCUUCUUCAAUGCAUCUCUUACGCCCAUCUCUUGUGGCUCAUGGGUAUGGAGUUAUGCAACCCCUGAGCCAGGAAGAUAAGGAACUGUACAACAUUUAGGAGACAUCUGCAGGCAGCUCUGUAUAGGGAAGUUUUUUAAUGUUGAAUGCUUGCCGCAUAUAUGUUGGAAGCCACCAAGAACUGCUGGGGCAAGCCAGUCAGAUGGGAGAGGCAUAAUAAUAAUAAUAAUAAUAAUAAUAAUGGCAUAGGACAUCUCUAUUUUCAUUGGAGAAAUGUUGGAGGGUAUGUAUGGGCCUUUAGAGGAGUUCUCUGACUUCCCCAGAAGGAGAGACACCAGCCUCUUAGGGAACAUCUCUCUGUUCCCCGUGCCAAACGACUGAGGCCCAGAGCCUUUCCUUUAUGCAGUAAUGGAUUCCAGCCGCCAUCUUGAGCCCCAAAGCCAAAGGGCCGCUUCCGCUUCCCACAGGGAGGCAGAGGGUCCUUACCACCAUGAUAGGACUCUUUGUGACUUCUUCACUGCACAUCUGAGGCCAUUUCAGCACUUGUGAGGGGAAGUGGCUCAUUUCAGAGACCUAAAAUGCCGAGGGGAGCCAUCAUUUUCCCUCUCUCUUAUGGCUCCUCUGAAGGACUGAGGGGGAAAUGUAGACUGGAGCAGCCACACUUUGGGGGGCUGACAUUCCUGAGGUAAAAAAAUGGGGGGAAGAGGGAAAACAGAAGAGGCUCGGGUUUUUUUGCAGAAGGAUUUGAAGUGGGAGCCAUUUGUUUGAUAAAUGCCACCACCACUAUGGACCCUUGUUUAAUUUUUGCUGCUGUUGUUCUCCACGCCUCAGAAAACAACCACAGCCGCAAAGUAUAUGUGUUUUAUUUGAUCGCUUGGGUUCUAAUCUGCUAGAAGAAUAGAGGAGUCAGCCUUCUGCCAUGUGUCUGCUCUGAGGCACUGAGGAGGUAAAAAGGAGGCUGGGGCAGCCAUGUUGCCGCUGGGGGCGACCUUCCUGAGGUAAAAAAAAAAAAGGGAGGGAAAACGGAAGAUUUCAGGUAGCAGCCAUUCGCUUGAUAACCCUUGUCCCCUCCGGCUUUAUUAACUUUUCUAUUACAGUCCAGCAGUAUAGUAAUCUCAUGAAAUGAAUAAAUUAAUAUUAAGUAAGUAGGUAUUUAUCCUUCCAGGCUCAAAGCAUAUGUGUUUUCAUGACCACAAGGACUUGCAAAAUCCAUUUUUGCUGCCUUCUUAUUCUAGGGCUGCCAUACGACCGGGAAUCGCUAAGCAAAAUGUCGUCUGGGCAGAUUCUUGCUGAAUGCUCAGGAAAAUCUAGACUUAUGGCAAGUUUAAUAAUAAUAAUAAAGCCCCCAGAGCUUUUCCAGAUGUUCAAACAAAACAAACAAGAAACACCUCAACAGCUUUGAAACCCCCCACAAAAAAAGCAGCUCAACAGCUCUGUCCAGAUUUUCACUUUUGGGAAUACGGCAACCCUAAUUAAUCCCCAAACCAUGAGUUGAUAAUUUAGAAGUAACUGAUCAGCCUCAGAGUGUGAGGCCAGCAGUAUUUCCCAGGACGUGGGGCUUCCGAUAUUUUUUGAACUGUCUGCUUUCCGUACCGACCCCAAUUUUAGAGAACAACAUAAUUUCCCCUCAGAAACGAACAGCUGAGGAAAUGCUUCCUUGGCCAGGCACCCUCUGUAAUCAAAGGUGCCAAGCUGCCUGCCAGAGACUGAGCUGUUAUGUAUCAUUACUAUUGCUUUUAAAGGUGUAUAUCAUGCCUGAGAAGCGCUAAUGAGUGCACCGACUAAUUAACAAGGGAAACCAGCCAGAUGAGUAGGAGCAUCAAACUCCAUUGGCAGAGCACAUGUCUUGCAAACAGAAGAUCAACCCCCAGCAGCGUCUCCUGGGAGGACUGGGAGGACUGGAGACAAGGCUGACGUUGGGCUCCCAUCCCCAAACACGCCACGACUCUUGCUUGAAAGGAAGAAAGGCGGAUAAAAUCAUGAUAUGGAAUUGUGAAAACACUGACGACAAGAGGCAGGACUAUGAGGAUGUGGAAAAUGCUUUGGAAUUCAGACCGUGGGAAGUCAAAAAAAAUAAGAUUACAAUUUGGAAGACAAUUGGACUUUUUAUUUUAGUUUUUUAUCUUUAUUGGAUUGGAUUUGAUAUGCUAAUUGGAUGUUCUUAUUGGAAAAUUAAUACACGCUUUUUAAAAAAGAGGUAGGAAGGAAGAAAAGCAUCUUUAUUCAGGCUAUUAGCGCAUGCUCAGAAGUCAAGAUUCCAGGAUACACGAGCAAGGGUGCAGGUUCAUAACUGAACAGAAGCUAUGGAAAUGUCCCGACAGUUGACACGCACACCGGCAGGCUUUUAAGGAUGAUACUCGCAAAACAAUUUUUCUGCUGUCUGUGCAUCUGGGCAGCUUUGUCUGAUUCCAGCUGCAAAGGGGGCACCUGUUUCUCCGUGACAAGCCUGCGUCCUGCCUGCCACCCCUUUCUGAUCCCUCAUUCUGGUCAAACUCCUUCUCUCCAAUUAACAGACCCUCCUACAGUCCUGCAGACUGAGCUGCCUUCCCAGGAUCUCUGUAAAAAUUCAUCUCACGGUUGCAUAGGGAAUGCAUCUCAUCCUUCCCUUUGCCCUGGCCCAGCCGGCCAAAAAUGGCCCCAGACGGGAAUCCUCAGUGGAAGAUGUGCAGCUCUUGAGGGUUGCUUGGCGCAAAUGGAGGAAAGAUACACAGUCAGCAGAGCUAGAAGGAAAAUUUGUAAGGAAAGAGUAAUGUGGGACAGAGCAAAGAUGAGGUGUGGGCGGCUACGGAUGUCAGAAAAGAUGGCAUCCCUGUCAUCGCGGAGACCUGGCUGGCCUCCGAGAUUACGAACCAUCUCCAGGUUUGUUAUUUCAGUUUCCAGCUGGGGGCUUUCCUUUAGGGUGGGGAACGUGGGCUAUUCUAGGGUCCAUAUUCUGAGUGACAUUAAAACUGCAUUCUCUUCUAAACACAAGAACAUCUGGCAUAUCCAAUUAAGCAGCAGAAUUGACGUCAACGACUGAUAUUCGCAAAAUAAAAGGAAGGGAAAUUUGUCCCUUGAGGAACAUCAUCAGCACCUCUGGGCUGAUUCCCAUGAUUUCAGUGGACAUCUUGGAGGAGUCUUGGAGAACCUGAAAUGAGAACAUUUUCAAGGAUACUUUCAGAAAGAUGUGGAUUCCCAAAGAAAUAAGUGUUUAAUGUUGUAGCCUGCCCUGGGAUGCAAGGGAAAGGGAUGGGUGACAGGUUAAAUAACAAUUUUAAAAAGAACCUAAGAACAGCUGGCUGGAUCAGGCACAGGAAAUCUCUUGUGAUUUCCAGAACUUUUGUUCAGAAACAUGCUGCCUCCAAUCGUGGAGGAAAGCAUAACCAUGGUGGCUGGUAGCCAGCAAUACCCCUUCCCACAUUCAGCAUUACAUUCAGAAGACAGGGAGCUCCUUUUAAUGCGUCCAACCUUCUAGCAGAGUGUUGUCCCUCGAGCAGGAAUGGGGAACGCUUUGAAUCUGAACUACAAAUCUCAGCAGCUGCAGGAAGCAGAGGAGACGAGGGCUGUAGUUUGGCCAUGUCUGGAGGGCCAGAGGUUCCCCACCUCUCUUCACCAGAAAGAAGGAUUCCCUGUCCAGGGUUCAGGGAGCACCUGGCUCUGCCAGACCUGCCUCCUGCAAGAAAGGGUCAGUGUGGCUGGAACAAGGCAGCCCUGCAUAGAGUGAGCCUCAAAAACCCAGUUCAGAUGCUACAUGGGCAGCAGGUCUGACCAUGGCCAGAGCAGCUUUCUCCAGAAAGACAGGGAACAGGGACACUAGGCAAGGUUCUGCAAAACCACUCAGGACCACGGCUGCUAUCUUCUUUUCCUAGCUGGCUCCAACCAUGAAAGUACAGUGGUGCCUCGCAAGACGAAAUUAAUCCGUUCCGCGAGAGUCUUCGUCUAGCGGUUUUUUCGUCUUGCGAAGCAAGCCCAUUGACGGAUUAGCGCUAUUAGCGCUAUUAGCGGUUUAGCGGCUAUUAAAGGCUUAAAGGCUUAGAGGAUUAGCUGCUAAAAGGCUAUUAAAGGCUAUUAAAGGCUUAGCAGAUUAGAUAAAGGGGGGGGGAAGCGAAAAAAAAAUCUCAAGACUCGCAAGGUAUUUUCGUCUUGCGAAGCAAGCCCAUAGGGGAAUUCGUCCUGCGAAGCAACUUCAAAACGGAAAACCCUUUCGUCUAGCGGUUUUUCCGUCUUGCGAGGCAUUCGUCUUGCGGGGCACCACUGUACCCAGUUUCGCAUUUCUAAAAGCCCCAAUACAACUCUAGGUUAAAAUUUUAUGUUGAGCCCUAAACAAUCCCAGUAGCACAACUCCUUGGAUGUAGAGAUUUGAGUUUCUCUUCCCCAAACUGCUUCUUGUCUCUCAAUUUGCAGAACCAAAUUUCAAAAUUAUUUUGCUCCAUAAUCAAACAGUUCCUUCCUUCUCUCCUCUAAGAAGCGAUUCAGUUCAAGACAACUUACCAAGUGAUGGAGAAGCCGAGUGGCGGAAGAGAGGAGAUGUUUCAAGGCACUGGUGGAAAAGCCUUUUAUACGGUUUCUCUCUGCACUAUUCGGGCAACAUGGCGUCACUAAUUUGGCUAAGUAUACCCCACCCCAGUCAAGUCUAGAUGUUACCAGAAUGCUCCUGGCCACCCUCCCAGACCAUGUAACCCAAUUCUAAGAUGCUAUCUUUCAUGUCAGGCGACGUCUUGGCUCAGAAAACUGCUUUGCUUUGUUUUGGCUCAGCUUCAUCUUGGAAGUUCUUCGUGUUCCUCUUUAUGGGAUUUGGGGUUCCUCCUUCUCCUCAUGGCCUGUGAAGGCAACCCUGCCCUGGAUGGCCAAGAGGCAGGGAGGGAGCAGUCUGAGGACAAUGAAUGGAAGGCACCUGCCUCUCCUGCUUCAUCUUCCUCACGUUGCCUUCCUCCCACCCUAGGCCCACCGACAAUCACCCGUCCUGGGCACCAGGAGACACGCUCCACCACUGCUCUCGAGGCUUGGAACAGGACCAAAGCCUUAUGGUGCUGUUGGAGAAAAUGUCUUGCGGGCUUCAAGUGCACAGGUGGAAUGUUCUGGAGCAGGCUCUUUGCCUUCAGGAGAGUCGGUGGAGAACAUUCCCUACUUAGAGCCAAUUAACUCGCUUUCAUUUCAGGUAAUUAAAAAGCUAAGGACAGCCACCCUGUUGCAAUUAGGAAUUAGGACUAGACGUUAUGGCUUCUAAAAUGUCGUCAUCAUCAGGCCCAACAACAGCAACACAACAUUUUGGCACUUGUACCAUCUGGGUAACAGGAUCGGGCAAGAAAUGUACAGGGUAACUGUUGGACCUCAACCUUCAACAAAUUAAAAGGCAUCCUAUUUAUCAAAACCAUUUCAAAUCCAAAACAGAUAAAGAUACCCGCUUAAAAGGCUGUUUCGAAAAGGGGUGUCUGGGUGGGAGUGGGUGCAGGACUAGUGUGGGGAUUUAGGGAAUGUGGCCAGAGGGUGACGCCACUUAGUGACUGGUGUCAGCAACGGUGUCUCCUGAGGCUUCAGAAACUCUAAUCAGGUACCAUGAAGACCCUAGUAUAAAUAUCCCCAUUCCUUCCUGUACAUAUUGUCCCUUUAAUAGAUCGAAACAUUAAUUCAAAGUUCAUUUUGUCUCUCGUUCUGGUGUCUAGCUCAUGCCUCUUACACCAACUACUAGGAGGUUUGGAAAGCAUUCAGAGUAAACUAGGGGGGGGGUGGCAAAAAAACUAAAGGAGGGCAGCAUUAGGGAAAAUGUUUGUUGGGUUAAUUCCACAUAAAUUGGUAAUGCUGACUCAUGCCCCACCUGGCUAAAUCUGGUGACUUUCUUAUCCGUGUCACUGGGCAGAUAUGGCAGGUAAAUUUGAGUACAAAAGGACUCGGGUGACAGGAUACAGUGUUGGGUUGUGGUAGGAGUUUGCAGGUGAAGCACAUUUUCUGCCCCAAAAGACACUGGUCCCUAUAGAUGGCUAAGGGUGCUGGGAAUCAUAGCUCUGUGAGGGGUGAGCUACAUUUCCCAGAAUUCUUGGGGAAGACAAUGUUCCAUGAUUCCUGGGACUGUCAACAUUUGAGGCCUUUAUGCUGUUACAACGACCCUGUAAUUGUUUGUAGCAGAGAUUACAGUGGUACCUUGGGUUAAGGACUUAUUUCGUUCCAGAGGUCCGUUCUUAACCUGAAACUUUUCUUAACCUGAAGCACCACUUUAGCUAAUGGGGUCUCCUGCUGCUGCUGUGCCGCCGGAGCACAAUUUCUGUUCUCAUCCUGGAGUAAAGUUCUUAACCCAAGGUAAUAUUUCUGGGUUAGCGGAGUCUGUAACCAGAAGUGUAUGUAACCUGAAGUGUAUGUAACCCGAGGUACCACCGUACUGGUGAGCAGGCCUUUGAGUAGAUAGAGAGGGAAGGACUUUCUUUAAAUGAGAGGGGCCUGGAUUCCUUCUUGUCACGGUAAUCCUGGCUGCUUGGACACUUCAGCUCACUUGGGUCACCUUCCUCUUGUCAGACCUUCACAGGGGGGCACCCUCUCAGACCACCUCAGCCCCUGGCUCCCUUCUUCUGAUCUUCCCCAAAUGAGUAUAAAUAACAAAUGGGGUCUCCAAAUCCUGGUCUCACUUUCUCCCACAGGUUUUUCCUGGUCUCCUCCUCCCUGCACCUUCCUCACCGACUUCCUUUAUUCCCACAGACUCCUCUCAGCUGACUCUGCCCCCAAGUACAUGGAACUUCCAGCCAAACAGGGUCUGUGGUCACAAAGAGCAAUGAAGAUCCACAGACCUGAUUUUGGCCCUGCUUAAUCGAUUCUCAGCACAUUCCUCUCUCCCUGCAUUCACAGGACCUCUCACCAAGGACUUCUACUGCACACAAUCGCUGUGAUGGCCUGGGAAUGUGAUUCAGAAGCUGAACCUGAGGAGUCCCGGCCUGCACAGGAGUCCCCGCCUCCAGGGCCGGCUGAGUCGGUACAGGGGCUUGAAUCUGAAGGGCCUGCACCUGUGCCGGAUCCUCAGGAGCAGACACCAGAUGUAUCCACUCUGGCUCCGGAGGUGAUUGAGGACCCAUUGCCUGCAGGUGCGCCUCUCCCAGCCCUGUCAGGGGAAGGUGAAGCUGCCCCUGGUCCAGUAACCCUCCAGCCUCUCCUGAGCUGCAGAGGCUCAGGGCAGAGAGGCAGAGGGAACUAAGUUCUCUCAGGAGGAGUGCUCGCCUUAAGGCCAGGAGUGGGCCGGGACCGCCCCUGGCCUCAGAGAAGAUAAAGGCCAGUCAGCCCAGGCCCAGGUUGCGGGAGUAACGUUGUUGGAAACCUGUUUCUGCCAGCACCCAGACCUGUUAUUCCGGAGUUCCCGAUCACGCACGGCUUCUUGCUUUGGACCCCACUUCGCCCUUGGUGGACAGUCUCCAGACCCUCGACCCAGGACCAGACUCUGACCACGCCUCUCAGUAACCCCCCACCCAGGUCCAGCACAAUUGCACACAAUAGUACCGGUGGUCACACAACAUUUUGCCCUCACAAUGCUGCCAUUCCCAACACCCCUAAGAGGCUACAGUGCCCAGAGUUCUAUGAAGGGGGAAAGAUGCUUCAGAUGUGUUUUAAAGAAGUCGUCUGUAUGUAGGUUAUGCUCCACAGAUGAUGCUUCUGAAGCCUGAAGGAGUCAAGAGAACACCCUGAACUCCAUUAAAAGGAACACAGAGAACAUCAUCCAAGGUGAAGCUGAGCCCAAAUGAAGCAAAACAGCUUCCCGAGCCAAGGUGUAACCUGACCUGCAAGAUACCUUUCGGAACAUAGUAUGGGAAGGUUGAAUAUUGUCCUGGUCUUGUGCUAACAGCUUAGGAAUGCUUGUCCCUUCAACCUCUCAGUUUUAGAUAUCCCAGUUUCUCACUGUUUCCAAAUGUGAAUUCCGCUCCCUUCAUGUCUACAGCAGUUUGUGAUUUAUUUAUUUCUUAAGCCUUGUGGAAAUUCAUAAGCAUCAGUGGAAAAUUCUCCCAAUUCCCCACAUUUCAGCAUGGAAUUUUGCAAUCAAAGUCCACCGAUAUAAUCCACACUUGUAUGUUAAGCUAAUUCACUAAUCUCUUCAUUUUAUGCACUCUUUCAUCUUGACAUAUGGGUUUUUCUUUCUUUCAAAAUAUUGCUUGCUUGGGGAACAGCAUCACACCUUCAUACAAGUGCGUAUUUCGAAGGGUGCAGUGUUUUGGCUAUUAUGUCAAUUUGCAAAUUGUGAAUUGGAUAGAUUCACCUUUAAAUGCAAACUAAACUCAACGCCCCUAACCCCAUUCCUGAGUCCUCUUUCUGCUGACUUCAUCCCGACUGGACACCUUGGAACUGCAGAAACAGCUUCCAAGGAGUAGCCGGGAAUCCCUCCUUCCGCCCGAGCGGUGCCUGUCUUGGCAGGGACUUUCAGGCAGGAGAAGCUAAUAGGGGUCAGCACAGAUGGGUGUCAGACAGGAUCAGACACAUAUCAAGGAGACAUAUUUGCGAUUGCCAGUUGCCCGUCACGAAAGGUGAGCUGAGAACCAGUAAAGCAGGAGAAAAACACGCAAGAGGCCUCUGUGAUACUGCAGUGAAGCUUUAAUGGCUAGCAAGGAAGGAGGGAACAUUCUCUGGGAUCAACAGGUCAAGCAGGAGAAGAGCUUCAACAUUAAGAGAUUAAAGGAAAGCAAAACACUCAUAAAAGUGUUCACAGGCGGCCAAAAAGGCCCCAGGCAAGAGCCUCGAUGUGCAGAUCUUCUGCCAAUUCUGACUCAGUGAACUGAGACUUGCUUGGCAGAAAUGGAGGACAGAUACACUCAGCAGAGGAGGAAGGAAGAUUUGCAAGGGGAAAGAAUGUGUUACAGAACAAAGAUGACAUGUUGGCAGCCGUGGAUAGUUUGCGUAGUGGGCACUCAGCAUUUCGGACUUCCUGGCCCUCAAAAGCACAAACCAUACGCAGGUUUCUUGACUCAGUUGUCAGUUUGGGGCUUUACAUUAGGAUCAGAAAAGCAGGCGAUUCUCAACUGGGCACAUCUGGUGAGUGACGUGACUGCCCUGCAUUCUGUUCAAAAUGUGAGACCAUCCAAAGUAUCAAAGGAAGCAGCAGAAGUGAAUCCUCAAUGAGGAAUCGUGGCAGCUUGACACUGAAUCUGAAUUUUUUUACUAUAGCUAUAAUAUCCUCUAUUCGGGGGGGUUCCUCUGGCAUCUCCGAAGAGGGAGUUCCAUUAUUGACACUGGACAUCUUGAACGAAUCUUGGAUACUCUGAAAUGAUACAUUUUCAAGAAUACUCUCAGAAACACGUGAAAACAGGGGAAAUCAGACAUUAUCUCUCAGAUAACCAGAGAAAUAUUUGUCAGACAGGGAGGAGGCAGUUCCCCUUACAUUUCAGCUUUUAUAUUGAGAUUCCUUUAUGAUGACUUAAAGAAUGCAUCUCCAGGAAGGAGACAGUUCAGAUAACGAGAGAUAUAAAAGAUUAAUUUAAUGUUGAUUUUUAAUUGUUGCAAGCAGGUCUGGGACAGUAAAGUGAAUGAUGUAAAACAUUAAAAUAGUGAUUUUUAAAAUGGAAAAGUCUCAAUGAUUCCCACCCCCAUUUGACAGGUUGUGUCUCUCUGACCCUUCUCCCUCUCCCUCUGAAAUUUGAGAGACUUCUCUCACGCUCUGGCCCUGCAGGAUCCUUCCCCUUCUGGGGUCAGACUGUUGGUCCCCCUAGUUGAGUGUUGUUUUUACAGUAGGGAUGGGGACGGGUAGCCUUCCAGAGCUUGUGGAACUACAACUCCCAGCAGCCCUAGCAGCCAACAUUGGCCAAGGCCAGAGGGGGUGGGAGUUGUUUUACAUCUGGAGGACCACAGGUUCCCCAGCCCUGCUAAGCUGUGAGUGGGAUUGACGUCCCAGGAGUUCAGCUGAGCCUCUUUCCCUGUCGGACCUGCCUCACCCAAGAAAAGGCAAGUGUUUGUGGAGCAAAGCAGCCCUGCCUAAAGUGCUCCUCAGUCCUCCCAUUGAGAUGCAACGUGGGCAUAUCCUGUGACAAUGGCACAGCACCUUUCUCAGAAGAAGAUGAGGAUGGGGCACUGGCCUGAGAUUCCCAGAGGAAGGAAAAUGGGUCCAGGGAUCUUCCCAUUACACAGAGCUGCUCUUUCAAACAAAUGACAACCAGAUCCAGAACAGGACAUCUUUCCCUUGCCAGUUCUGAUCUCUUAGGAGAAAGAGACUCCCCUUUUCACCCUCUUCUAACUCCAUCCCAGAGAGUGCCCAGCUCCACAUUUCAGAAGUCCUAUUAGAAGUGGGAUUUCUGUUUGAGCCCAAAACAAUUCCAGUGGCACAGGGAAUUGCAUGUAAAGACCUGAAGGUCUCUUCCCAAAUCUGAUUUCCAUGUGAAACUAAGCAGGAAGGCAUGUUGGAAAAAAACCCCAGUAAAUAACUGCCCCAUAGUGAAUCAAUUACAAACUUAUUUGCUCUAGUAAUCAAUAUACUUAAAAGGAGCUUACCAAAUGCUGAAGAAGCUGAGCAGACGAGGAGAGGAGAUCUUCAAAAGCGCUGGUGGAAAAGCCCUACACACUGAGCCCUUUUAUGCAGGUUCUCUCUGCACCUGCGGCGAAUACUUUGGUGCAGCAUCACUAAUAUGGCUAAGUAUAGCCCACCUCCACUUUUUGGCCAGACUGUCCCUAGCCAUUGGAACUCCAUCCGACUGCAAUGUAAUCUGUUCCAAGAAGUUAUUGGUCUUGUCAGCCUCCUGCUUGGCUUUCUUUUGUUUGUUUUUUUUAAAUAUAUUUAUUAAGAUUUUCAAAAUAUUAC
rnacentral:lncRNA from 1 species